rnacentral:rRNA from 1 species
GACGAACGCUGGCGGCGUGCUUAACACAUGCAAGUCGAACGGAAAGGCCCUUCGGGGUACUCGAGUGGCGAACGGGUGAGUAACACGUGAGCAACCUGUCCUCCAGUCUGGGAUAAGCCAGGGAAACUUGGUCUAAUACCGGAUACCUUCACGGACUCCUAUGUGACUGUGAAGAAAGAUUUAUCGCUGGAUGAGGGGCUCGCGGCCUAUCAGCUUGUUGGUGGGGUAACGGCCUACCAAGGCUUCGACGGGUAGCUGGUCUGAGAGGAUGAUCAGCCACACUGGAACUGAGACACGGUCCAGACUCCUACGGGAGGCAGCAGUGGGGAAUCUUGCGCAAUGGGCGAAAGCCUGACGCAGCAACGCCGCGUGAGGGAUGAAGGCUUUCGGGUUGUAAACCUCUUUCAGCAGGAACGAAAUUGACGGUACCUGCAGAAGAAGCACCGGCCAACUACGUGCCAGCAGCCGCGGUAAUACGUAGGGUGCAAGCGUUGUCCGGAUUUAUUGGGCGUAAAGAGCUCGUAGGCGGUUAAGAAAGUCAGGUGUGAAACCUCCAGGCUCAACCUGGAGACGCCACUUGAUACUUCUUUGACUUGAGUACGGUAGGGGUAAGCGGAAUUCCUGGUGUAGCGGUGAAAUGCACAGAUAUCAGGAGGAACACCGAUGGCGAAGGCAGCUUACUGGGCCGAUACUGACGCUGAGGAGCGAAAGCGUGGGGAGCGAACAGGAUUAGAUACCCUGGUAGUCCACGCCGUAAACGUUGGGCACUAGGUGUGGGAGGUAAUCAACGCCUUCCGUGCCGUAGCUAACGCAUUAAGUGCCCCGCCUGGGGAGUACGGUCGCAAGACUAAAACUCAAAGGAAUUGACGGGGGCCCGCACAAGCGGCGGAGCAUGUUGCUUAAUUCGAUGCAACGCGAAGAACCUCACCUAGGUUUGACAUGCUGGGAAAAGCCACAGAGAUGUGGUGUCCUUCGGGGUCCAGCACAGGUGGUGCAUGGCUGUCGUCAGCUCGUGUCGUGAGAUGUUGGGUUAAGUCCCGCAACGAGCGCAACCCUUGUCCUAUGUUGCCAGCACGUAAUGGUGGGGACUCGUAGGAGACUGCCGGGGUCAACUCGGAGGGAGGUGGGGACGACGUCAAGUCAUCAUGCCCCUUACAUCUAGGGCUGCAAACAUGCUACAAUGGCUGGUACAACGGGCUGCGAACUCGCGAGAGUAAGCGAAUCCCUUAAAGCCAGUCUCAGUUCGGAUUGGAGUCUGCAACUCGACUCCAUGAAGCUGGAGUCGCUAGUAAUCCCGGAUCAGCAUUGCCGGGGUGAAUACGUUCCCGGGCCUUGUACACACCGC